UGUCUCUGUCGCGAUCGUCUUCGACGACGAGAAGAAGCGGCGACAGAUCUCGCAGGCGCGCGGACAGCCGCUCGACAGGCGGUGGCGACGGUUUUGUGCGUCUCGCGUCUUCGCUCUUUAACAGCUCUUUUUGAGAGAGACUCGCGGGUGAGGCGUGAAGCCGUAGGAAAGCGGGGGAAAACCACUCGUUAACGAGCUAACGAGUAUAAUACGUACGAGAGCGCAUGAAGCCAAUGAGCCGAAAUCGGAUGGAGACACGAGAAAACCCAAAGAAGAUGACUUAACCCGGAGAAACAUGACGAAUGGGCUUCCUCGUAACGGAAAUGGAAUGUCCAAAUGACAGUAGAGAUGACAUUACAAUACACCAUGCGAGGCGAAGAUGAUUAAAUGGCGUUCAAGGACGCUCGUAUAGACGAAUAGACGUAAUUAUUCACCGUUCUCUCAUUGUUCGCGUAUUAUCGAAGACGGUGACUCACCGUUUGCAGAGGGUAAAUCGACCAAUGGUAGUAUCAACAGCACUAACACCGAUA